CUCCUACGGGAGGCAGCAGCAAGGAAUUUYGCGCAAWGGGCGAAAGCCUGACGCAGCAACGCCGCGUGAGGGAUGAAGGCCUUCGGGUYGUAAACCUCUUUUGUCAGGGACGAAUAAUGACGGUACCUGGCGAAUAAGCUUCGGCUAACUACGUGCCAGCAGCCGCGGUAAUACGUAGGAAGCAAGCGUUAUCCGGAUUUACUGGGCGUAAAGUGAGCGUAGGUGGCCUUUCAAGUCGGAUGUGAAAUCUCCUGGCUUAACUGGGAGGGGUCAUUCGAUACUGUUGGGCUAGAGGACAUCAAGGGAAGGUGGAAUUCCGGGUGUAGUGGUGAAAUGCGUAGAUAUCCGGAGGAACACCAGUGGCGAAGGCGGCCUUCUGGGAUGUUUCUGACACUGAGGCUCGAAAGUGUGGGGAGCGAACAGGAUUAGAUACCCUGGUAGUCCACACCGUAAACUAUGGACACUAGGUAUAGGGAGUUUCGACCCUCUCUGUGCCGAAGCCAACGCUUUAAGUGUCCCGCCUGGGGACUACGGCCGCAAGGUUAAAACUCAAAUGAAUUGACGA
rnacentral:rRNA from 1 species